CACCUCCAGCAUCCCUAGUAUUGGAGGCACUGCCUGCCCAGUGACUAAACGUUAAACGGCCGCGGUAUUCUGACCGUGCAAAGGUAGCAUAAUCAUUUGUUCUCUAAAUAAGGACUUGUAUGAAUGGCCACACGAGGGUUUUACUGUCUCUUACUUCCAAUCAGUGAAAUUGACCUCCCCGUGAAGAGGCGGGGAUAAAUCAACAAGACGAGAAGACCCUAUGGAGCUUUAACUAAGUAACUCAAGGAAAAUAAAUUCAACCACCAAGGGAUAACAACACUCCUUAUGAGUUAACAGUUUCGGUUGGGGUGACCUCGGAGAACAGAAAAUCCUCCGAGCGAUUUUAAAGACUAGACUAACAAGUCAAACCAAACCAUCGCUUAUUGAUCCAAAAACUUGAUCAACGGAACAAGUUACCCUAGGGAUAACAGCGCAAUCCUAUUCAAGAGUCCAUAUCGACAAUAGGGUUUACGACCUCGAUGUUGGAUCAGGACAUCCCGAUGGUGCAACCGCUAUCAAAGGUUCGUUUGUUCAACGAUUAAAGUCCU
rnacentral:rRNA from 1 species